UGGGAGGCUUUGAAGUGUGGACGCCAGUCUGCAUGGAGCCGGCCUUGAAAUACCACCCUUUAAUGUUUGAUGUUCUAACGUUGACCCGUGAUCCGGGUUGCGGACAGUGUCUGGUGGGUAGUUUGACUGGGGCGGUCUCCUCCUAAAGAGUAACGGAGGAGCACGAAGGUUGGCUAAUCCUGGUCGGACAUCAGGAGGUUAGUGCAAUGGCAUAAGCCAGCUUGACUGCGAGCGUGACGGCGCGAGCAGGUGCGAAAGCAGGUCAUAGUGAUCCGGUGGUUCUGAAUGGAAGGGCCAUCGCUCAACGGAUAAAAGGUACUCCGGGGAUAACAGGCUGAUACCGCCCAAGAGUUCAUAUCGACGGCGGUGUUUGGCACCUCGAUGUCGGCUCAUCACAUCCUGGGGCUGAAGUAGGUCCCAAGGGUAUGGCUGUUCGCCAUUUAAAGUGGUACGCGAGCUGGGUUUAGAACGUCGUGAGACAGUUCGGUCCCUAUCUGCCGUGGGCGCUGGAGAACUGAGGGGGGCUGCUCCUAG
rnacentral:rRNA from 1 species